ensembl:lncRNA
UUUAAGUUCUUAACGUAAAAUAUAUCCAAAUGUAAAAUGAACUUAAUAAGCAUCAUGUCACCUUUUCUUGUAUAUCUGCUGCAGAGGUUCUCCUUCCCUUCACCUUUAUAGCAUGCUGUUCUGAUUUGAAUGAUCUGAUCAUGUCGCCUGCGUCUAUAGUCCAGGUCUGCCCCCUAAUUCAGAUAAUCUUAGACUAUUAGGCCAUAAUGACAACUUUGAUGCCUUUUGAACAAACAUUCUAAAAAAUUAACAAAUCCUAUGGUCUAAGGAAACAGACCGGCCUCUGGGAGUAAUGUAAUUUAACUCAGGCUAUGACAAAUAGCAUUAUGUAGUUUAAGAAGUAGGCUGGAGACGUAAAACCACAAGGCACACAAAAUAACCAAAUGUUUGUAUCAACUUAGAUUUUGUGCAAACAAGGUGAAGAGGUUUGAAUGGGGAUUUUCAUUCAUGGUAUUGGGCAAAGCUGAACCUAACAGGCCACUCUCCAAUGUCACCAGUGUGCCUGCACAGAUGUGGAACUUCACUGAAGCCCUAUCAUGUUCAUGCCAAUAUAUGACCUUCUCCUACACCCAAAAUAUAAUACAUACAUGGAUAGUAGAAAACUUGCCUGUAGUUUACCAUUAGAGACUUAAAAAUACAGUUUUAAUAACUGUUCUAUGUUUUAUAAGCGUCCCAUGGUAAUGGAACACAGUUGUGGUUUGGUUUUUCAGACCAGCGCCUACAGGCAAUCUUAGAAAAAGAGUGUGGACACAAAUUGUACAUUGGCUACACUAUCACCUAAAUAGUUUUCCUGCAAUGUUAUUAGUUUUUUUAAUAUUAAGAAGCAGAUGGUGGACUACAUUAUAGGAUGAUUAAAUAAAAGCAUUGUAAAACAAAAUCAUGGUUUAAAAUGUACCAGGCAAAUGGCCAACAGCAUGUAUGGCCUCAUGUGUUGUGAACAGAGUGCCCCAUAGUGGUGGUGGGGUUAUUGUUUGGACAGGCAUAAGGUUCAGAAAAUAAAAACAGCUGGAUUUUAUCAAUGGCUGUUUGAAUGCAUAGAGAUACCGUGACGAGAUCAUAAAGCCCAUUGUCAUUCCAUUCAUCCACCUCCAUCACCCCAUGUUUCAGCUUUAUAAUGCACAGCUCCACGUCACAAGGAUUGGUUCACAAGUCCUGGAAGAAAAUGUCUAUGGCCUGCAUACAGUACUCACCAGACAUGUCACCCAUUGAUCACAUUUAGGAUCCUCUAAAAUCAACAUGUACAACAGCAUGUUUCAGUUCCUGACAAUAUCCAGGAACUUCACAGUCAUCCCAAAAGAGUGGGACAGCAUUCAACAUGUUUUGGUCAUGAUCAACCUGUACCAGUCAUGGAUGCAUUAUUGGAGCACUCACCAUGAUGAGAGAGGUCAGCGAAUAUCUUUCGUCCUGCAGUUUUUCUCUGCAGCUGGUAGACCCACGCCAUAAUCAGGCCGUGAUGGAAGAGGGGCGGAUGGACUCUACAUUUGAGCACUGUUGUGUUGUCCUCCCACCUGAGAUUGAUCCCAGUUUUCAGGAUUCAAUCUCCAAGAGAGAGAACAGGGGCACGUGGUAUUCCUGAAGAUGACCAACACCACAAUAGUUUUGUCUGUGUUAAGGUGAUGUUGACUCCAGCUGGUUGACCUCUCCAUGGUGCAUGGCUGUAAGUGGUAUUUCAGACCAGAGUGUUGUCAUCUGUAAACUUGUGUAUCUUGACAGAAGCCUUAUUAAAGUCAUUACAACGGAGUGAGUAUAAUAUGGGAAAGCAUGCAUCCUUGCGGUGCUCCAGUGCUGAGGAAUAAAGAGUCUGAUAUGUUCAUACCUAUCAGGUAUAGAUCCACUGACAGUUGGACCUGGGCCUGUUCAGCUGGGAGAGUUCUAAGGUAGUGGUGUUGAACGCAGAGAUGAAGUCCAUAAACAGUCUUGAUGCAUAAGUCUUCGGGUUGUCUAGGUGUUAGAGAACGUCGUGGAUGUCCAUGUUGAUAGCGUCAUUCACAGACAAGCUGCAUUUGUAGGCAAACUGCAGUGGUUCAAAGGAAUGGUUUCAAGACUGGACAAUGGGACAGUCAUCCAGACAGAAUACAUUUAGUUUUCUGUUGACAAGAACCAUGAUGUAGGACUUGAAACGUGUGUAGAAACAGUGCAUUGCUGUAGUAACAUUCUGAUGUACGUUAUUAUAUACAUUGGUUAGUAUAUGUACAUGGAUAGUAGAGAACAUGCCUUUAGCUUACCCUCAGAGUUUUAAAUAUGCAGUUUUAAUAAAUGUUCUGUGUUUUAUAAGCAUUCCAUGGUAAUGGAACAAAGUUGUGGUUUGGUUUUUCAGACCAGUGCCUACAGGCAAGCUAGGGACCAGCCCCUAAAAAUAGGGUUUACACAGAUUUUACAUUGGCUACACUAUUACCUAACAAUGACCUUGUCUUGUCGUACUAAAUGAUAAAAAGAUGAAUCAGUAUGUCUACUGGUAGGAUACUUUCAUACUGUUUUAGGCUGCUACUGCCUAUCACCAUUGAGCUCAGUGUUUGACAAUGCACAUAUGUCUCAAGAUAUGUUAUGUAACUUUUAUUUUUAGCUAGCUAGUUAGAUGCUUAUGAAUUGACCCAGAUUGUCCAUGAUAUCCAUCUUUUGAGUUUGAAUGGGCUGUCUAAGUUCCAAUGAGGGGAUUAUUAUGCAGGUCUUGGUGGACUGGCCAUUAUCUGCACUUUUUCCCCAAUAAAUAAUUUCAAAUGCAUCUCAUAUCAGUACUGAUUAUCUUGUAAUUAAUUUAGAAUUUUGAUUUUAUUCAGCUGUUUACAGAUUGCGGGGGUUAUGACCCUCAUACCCCUGGUACCAGCCCUGGUUUCAAUGUAAUGCACAAAGAUAUUUACUGACAAGGAGAUGUAGUGCACAGGGUAAUCAAUUGUAGAGAAUCUAUGGUAUGUGGAGUUAAUAUACUCCUCAUCUAUUAUAGAAUUAAACUGGCUCCAACAAAAAGUCAUAUUGUUGUUAAAAGUCAAAUCAAAUAAUGAGAUCAUAUUUCUUCGUACUGUCUAUAGAAAUGACUUUGUAUUUUCAAACAACACUAAUGCACUUUUGAACACAUCAUCAGUACUAAUUGAAUGGAAUGUUCAGUUUGUGGAAAAAUAAGAAAAGGGAAGUAAAAAAGAACGGGCACAUAAACCUCCCACAACUUCCCGAACUAUCAGAUGUUGUGUUUUUUUGUGGGGUAAUAGUGAGCCUGUGACAUUAAUACAUUAAUACAUACAUACAGUAACUCUACAGCUACUGGAAUGGUUGAACAGUGUAGAAGAGUACCUCCCACUACAGUUUUUAUUAUUACUUCAUCCUUGUUUACCAGAUAGAUUGACUCAGAACACAUUCUCAUUUCCAGCAACAACCUAGGAGUAAUCAGAGUUAAAUGCCUAACUCAGGGAUUUAAUUUGGCUCCCUCAGGACCUAAGCAACCUACCGCACCAAUGAUUCUUGUCAAUAUUACAGUGUGGUCUUUGAAAACAAUAGUGGGACGAAACGUGCAACCCAUUAAUAUGAGCUAGCUAAUAACAGUGAUUGAUUAUGGAGCGCUAUGACAAUGAAAAUUGUGGUGUGAGACUUGCCUUCUACAUGAAAGCACACUUGCCAAAAAAUAUCACUGUCACUUUGCAGGCUGCCUUAAUUAAUGUGUUUCAAAGUAACAGUUGACUGCAGUUACUACAUUUACAAAGCUUCCUAAAUCUUUUUGGUAAGGGCAUUAGGGUUUAUACAAUUGUAGUGAACAUUUCAAUACAUACCUAACAGCAGUGUGAAUGUGAUUUGUUCUUUCUGUGGAGUUCAGGUGCCGAAGAGCAGCAGACAGUCCAGAGUAGUAGGCAGGAAUGCAAAAAUAAUUGGACAGGACGACUUUGAAAGGCCUUUCCAACAUGAAGGCCAAACUGCAAGGACGUUCUUGAAAGAAGACGUGUGCUGGAGCUGACAUGAAUGCAUGGUUUGAACGAAGAUGUGAUAUGUGUUGGGGGACCAGCCUUGCUGGUGCACCUGCCUGUAUUCCAGGAAAAGUCCUGCAUCAGAUGUUCUCUUACUUGAGCUCCUUUACCUCUUCUAGAAUAUGAGGUCAAAAUACACAGUAGUGGCAUCCAAAUGGAGUAAUGUUAUUUAGGACUAAAUCUUUGAGUCUUGAGCCAAAUCCCAAGUAAAGACAGGGGUGACAAAGUAUCAUGUCCCACAUUUUCAGCCCAGUCAAAUGACGCAAGCCUAUGAAGUUUAUUAUUAUAUUUAAGUAUAUUAAGUUAAAGUUGUGUGAUAUAUGUUUUGCUCAGUAAGGCAGAAACCCAGCUUUCAGAUACAGCAAUUAUAUGUUGCUAUUUUGUUUUUGCUCCUUCUCAGGAUCCAUUCAGGCAACAGCACACACUGAACUGUUCCAUAUACCGUAGAAGUCAAUGUCUGAAUGUACACCAAGAUUAACGUGGGCCAUCAUUCAUACAUUGAGAAUGCUGUCCUAUAGCCACCAGAGCAUAUUCCCAAACCACUUUAUGUUUGCAUAUAAUGCUAAUGCCACCCCAAAAUUAUGCUUUUAUUCUUUACUGAUUACUUUAUUUUGUAUUAUACCUGUACAGACUACAUACAGCGCCGGAAAUAAUUAAGAGACCACUGCACCCUUUUCUUUCCUUUCCAAAAAAGGCAAAGAGGAAGGUUUUGAGUGAGGAACAGAAGGGUUAAAAUUAAGAGACCACUGCAAAUUUAACGCUUCUGUUCUUCACUCAGAAAUUUCCUUUUCAACUUUUUCGGAAAGGAAAGAAAAAGUUGCAGUGGUCUCUCAAUUCUUUCCGGAGCUGUAUGUUCCUGGGGCAGCACAGGGACCAUUAGACCACCACAGAGCACAAGAAAUAUCUAAAUGUCUACUUACUUACAAUAAAAUUAUUUGAUCAAUACAGAAAUCAACAGUUGCACUCAUUGUUGUGUUACUGGUUUUAUUCAUUUUCACUUAUUGUUAGUACUUAUUGAGUUAUUCUUAGGCUCUGAUUACAUUUUCAGUCAAAAAGGUGUAAAUAUAUAGAACCUUUCUUCUGUAGUUUAUUUCAGGUUACUUAGACAUACUUUGUAGUUGCAUCAUUCCCCCAUAAAUUCCAUUAAUUAAGUGUCAAUGAAACCUAUUGCUAGGACAUGUGAUAAUAAUUGUGUCAUAUCAGAGAUGAGGCUAUGAUGAUGUUUACUUCGGUUAGAUGUGAAUAAAGCCUCAUUUACGAUAGACCCACUGUUUAUUCCAACAGGCGGGUCCAAUUUCUAUUUAUAAAAAAAUUGUAAUCCUCGUUUCAGUAAUUUUUUUCCAACAAUGGAAAGCAAUACUCGUAGAUCUUAACUUCACUGUACAGAGAGUACAUUUUGUUCCAACCAAGCAUGUUCCUUGUAGUUUAUAUAUGUACUUGAUCUAUUCAAAAUCCUCUCUAUUUAUCUCUCUCUAGUAUACCCUCUAUUUAUCUUUCCG